rnacentral:sRNA from 4 species
AUAUCUCUCCGUACGGGAAGGAUGAGAAGCUUCGACUAAGGUUCGAUUCGAGCGCAGCGAGAACGCGUUGCCGCAG